rnacentral:rRNA from 1 species
AAUCAACGCUGGCGGCGUGCCUCAGACAUGCAAGUCGAACGCGAAAGGUUCCUUCGGGGACCGAGUAGAGUGGCGCACGGGUGAGUAACACGUAGGUAAUUUGCCUUUGGGUGGGGAAUAACUCAGGGAAACUUGAGCUAAUACCGCAUAAUGCAGCGGCUCGACAUCGAGACAGUUGUUAAAGCGGGGGAUUCGCAAGAACCUCGCGCCUAAAGAGAAGCCUGCGGCAGAUAGCUAGUUGGUAAGGUAAUGGCUUACCAAGGCGACGAUCUGUAACCGGCCUGAGAGGGCGGUCGGUCACACUGACACUGACAUACGGGUCAGACUCCUACGGGAGGCAGC